rnacentral:rRNA from 1 species
UAAUACCCUAUAGAUUACAGAUGCUGGAAUGCCCUGUAAUCAAAAGUUCCGACGCCUUAGGAUGGAUCUGCGGCCGAUUAGGUUGUUGUUGGGGUAAUGGCCCAACAAGCCAGUAAUCGGUACGGGUUGUGGGAGCAAGAGCCCGGAGUUGGAUUCUGAGACACGAAUCCAGGCCCUACGGGGCGCAGCAGGCGCGAAAACUUUACAAUGCGGGCAACCGUGAUAAGGGAACCUCGAGUGCCUGUAUACGCAGGCUGUCCAGGUGCCUAAAACACACCUGAAGAAAGGGCCGGGCAAGACCGGUGCCAGCCGCCGCGGUAAUACCGGCGGCUCGAGUGGUGGCCGCUUUUAUUGGGCUUAAAGCGUUCGUAGCUGGUUUGUUAAGUCUCUUGGGAAAUCUGGCGGCUUAACCGUCAGGCGUCUAAGGGAUACUGGCAAUCUUGGAACCGGGAGGGGUGAGGGGUACUUCGGGGGUAGGAGUGAAAUCCUGUAAUCCUCGAGGGACCACCUGUGGCGAAGGCGCCUCACCAGAACGGCUUCGACAGUGAGGGACGAAAGCUGGGGGAGCAAACCGGAUUAGAUACCCGGGUAGUCCCAGCCGUAAACUAUGCGCGUUAGGUGUAU